rnacentral:rRNA from 1 species
GCAUGAUAUUUUUAUUAAAGAAUUUCGGUUAUCGAUGGGGAUGCGUUCCAUUAGUUUGUUGGCGGGGUAACGGCCCACCAAGACUACGAUGGAUAGGGGUUCUGAGAGGAAGGUCCCCCACAUUGGAACUGAGACACGGUCCAAACUCCUACGGGAGGCAGCAGUGAGGAAUAUUGGUCAAUGGGCGAGAGCCUGAACCAGCCAAGUAGCGUGAAGGAUGAAGGCUCUAUGGGUCGUAAACUUCUUUUAUAUGGGAAUAAAGUAUUCCACGUGUGGAAUUUUGUAUGUACCAUAUGAAUAAGGAUCGGCUAACUCCGUGCCAGCAGCCGCGGUAAUACGGAGGAUCCGAGCGUUAUCCGGAUUUAUUGGGUUUAAAGGGAGCGUAGGUGGAUUGUUAAGUCAGUUGUGAAAGUUUGCGGCUCAACCGUAAAAUUGCAGUUGAAACUGGCAGUCUUGAGUACAGUAGAGGUGGGCGGAAUUCGUGGUGUGGCGGUGAAAUGCUUAGAUAUCACGAAGAACUCCGAUUGCGAAGGCAGCUCACUAGACUGUUACUGACACUGAUGCUCGAAAGUGUGGGUAUCAAACAGGAUUAGAUACCCUGGUAGUCCACACAGUAAACGAUGAAUACUCGCUGUUUGCGAUAUACAGUAAGCGGCC